GGGGAGGCUCGGGCAGCACAAGAGCCCACGGCGUGUGGGGAGGUUCAGGCAUGGCGGGCUGCAGGUCCCGAGCCCUGCCCUGCGGGAAGGCAGCCAAGGCCCGGCGAGAAAUUGAGCACAGCAGCUGCUGGCCCAGGCGUUAAACCCCUCACUGCCCGGGGCCGGCAGGGGCUCCCUGCCGCUCUGAGUGCGGGGCCCGCCAAGCCCACGCCCACCCGGAACUCCAGCUGCCCCGCAAGCGCCGCGCGCAGCCCGGGUUCCCGCCCGCAGCCCGGGUUCCCGCCCGCGCCUUUCCCUCCACACCUCCUCGCAAGCUGAGGGAGCCGGCUCCGGCUUUGGCCAGCCCAGAAAGGGGUUCCCAGAGUGCAGCGGCGGGCUGAAGGGCUCCUCAAGUGCCGCCAAAGUGGGAGCCCAGGCAGAGGAGGCGCCGAGAGCGAGCGAGGGCUGUGAGGACUGAGAGCACGCUGUCAUCUUUCAGAAGGAGGUCUUAUCUGAUGACUUUUAUUUUCUCCAUGAAGCCGCACAGAAACUCUCUCUGUACCACGUACCUGCUGCCAGAAGCUGGGAAGGAGUGGUGCUGGUGAUUCAAAACUGAUUUUCCUGCCUCUUCGAUGCCUCUUUUAGUGACAUACAGUUAAGACCAGGCACUGGUAUAACCAGGAGUUGCGAAGUGGUCGUAGUUGUUCAUGUCUCAAUCUGGAUCAUCUUUGCUUUUUGCUUCUGCUUUGUGCUAUCCCUCUUCCCGUACCUCAGUUCUAUCUGGAACCAUGAUCUGUGACUGCCAUGGAAAAGUGUUGGGCAGGAGGAGGCCAGCUGGGUCUUUGAAGUUGACAAUGGAGCCAGGAAUGAAAGCUGCACUUAGGAUGAGAAUUGCUUUCCCUGGAGCCAAGUCAGCAAAUGCAGUCUGGUUGUCAGAGCUGAGAGGCUUCACCAAGUCAAGUAGGGGAGGACAUCUUCACUCUGCAACUUGCCCUACUGAAUGCAGAAAGUACUGUCUACUUAGAUAAAGCCUACACUAAAAGGGAAUUGAAUCUCUGCAAAUAAGUAUGUGGAUCUAAUUUCUACCUUCCAGAUUAAAAGUAUAAUUAAAAAUGAAAA